UUGAAACACAGUGUCUUUUGUCUCAUUUGACUUUCAGACUGUGUUGAACCAAAGUUCAUGUAAGAGUCCCUGUUUGGUCACUGAAAACAUAGGCAAACCUGAUGGAAAAGAGAUGGUUUUGGUUUGCAGUACUUCUUCUGACCGGAUGGAAGACUGAUCAGGCUGCACCUUUAUCUGAGAAUCUAAGGAUCACAGAGAGGCGGAGGCCAGAAAGGACCUUCGGAGGUCACCUUGGACAGCCCCUUGCUUAAGGAAGAUGGCCUAGAUGGCCUAGAGCAGCUUGCCCAGGACCAUGUCCAGAUGGCUUUUGAAGGUCUCCAAGGACAGAGACUCCACAAUCUCCCUGGACAACCUGUGCCACUUCUUGGUAACCCUCAAAGUAAAAAGUACUUCCUGAUCCUCAGAGGAAAACUCCUGUGCUUCAGCACAUGCCCAUUGUCUCUGCUCCUAUCAUUGGACACCACUUGAAAGAGCCUGGCUCUGCUUUCUCUACACUGGUCCCAGUCUUGGUUUAGUUUUUGUUCCCAGAUUUACAUAAUAAUUUUCUAAAAUUUAUAUGAGUUGUUCUAUCCGUCUUUGUAUCUCGUUCACUUUGAUUUUCUAGCUUGUUUGCCCUGAAAUUAGUCUUCGAAGAGCCAGUUUUUGCUACAUGCUUCUUGAAUCAUAAUAUACUCUGCAUGCCUAUGAUACUUCUAAGUUAAUAUUUUCAAGAGAUUUUUAAAAAGGCUCUAUUGGGAUUGUAUGAGCUUGUAAAUAUUCUGUGAAUGAAUUUAGCUCUUGCUUAAUUGUGACCACCUAUUAGUGCUGGAUCCUGAGCACACUAUUUUAAUAAAACAGAGAAACAUCAAGCAAACUAAAGUUCUCUUCAAGGAAAUUCCACAGUUUUCUUUCUGUUGCAUGGUGAGCAGAAGUGAAUCACUGUGACUGUGGAGGAGGAGGGGGAGGAAAACAGAGAGAAGUUGAAAGAAAACAGACUAAUUCUGAUUAGACUUGCAGUUGAAAUAACAGAAGAUUAUCAUGCCAACAUCUUUGUUGUUUUUAGAAAUAAACAUUGCAGCACUGGAGUCUGUAAUUAACAUUUCUGUGGAUUGCUUCAAUGCAGUGCAUUUAGCUGUGAAUAAAUGUGCUGU